ACCAGCCUACGGGGGGCAGCAGUGGGGAAUAUUGCACAAUGGGGGAAACCCUGAUGCAGCGACGCCGCGUGGGCGAGGAAGGACCUCGGUAUGUAAAGCCCUAUCAGCAGGGAAGAAACAGGACAGUACCUGACUAAGAAGCCCCGGCUAACUACGUGCCAGCAGCCGCGGUAAUACGUAGGGGGCAAGCGUUAUCCGGAUUCACUGGGCGAAAAGGGAGCGCAGGCGGCAUGGCAAGUCUGAUGUGAAAACCCGGGGCCCAACCCCGGGAGUGCAUUGGAAACUGCCGUGCUGGAGCGGCGGAG
rnacentral:rRNA from 1 species